UUGGAUGAGUGUCUGAAAAGGGUACAUACCUAAGAUGAAGGUUUGAAGUAAAAUAGCUUGUUACCAUUUGAAUUUUACUAUUCACGUUAAACUUCGAUAUGGAUAAGCUUACUCAUUAUUACUAUAUUUAUGUUCUAAAGAGUCUCGUCUUGCUGAUCAAGAGACAAGAGUGCGAAAGAGGAGCAGCCAAAAGGAGAAAGGAUAAAGAACUUGUUGAUGAGGAUAGAGAGUCUUGCACAGUUGAAUUAAGUGAUCAUAUUGUGGUGAUGAUUUCCUUAAUGAUAAAGUUGAAGGUGACACAGCGGUUUCCUUGAUGAUGAUACGUGCCUCUUCCAAGGAAAAAGAUCAAGUAGAUGAAGUGGCUGCCAAAAUUUCUAUUUCCCAGUCUUCUUAUCAUUCCAAGAAGAAAGGUGAUGAUGAUGAUGAAGUUGAAGCUGACACAGUUGUUUCUGUGGAGAAAAAAGUUGAUUUUCUUGGCUUUUCCAUUCUUUCUAAACAUGCGAACUACUUGAAAAUUAUUUACCAGAAAGAAGGUGAUUUUUGGGAGACCUUUGCAUCUUUCAGAGUUCAGAAAUAAUUUCUUUUAUGUUGGAUGCAUUAGGAAGAGCUUUGGUGAUAGCUGAUGGUCUAGCAUUUCUUCAGAAAAGCAACGUUCAUGGAUGAUGGCAUGAAAGCUGGAUUUAGACUUGAUUGUAUCGAUUUCUGCACAUCUAAAGCUCCAACUUUUCUUUUUAUGGAAGCAAACAAAACCCAAUUGAAAACAGAGAUGAAAGAAGUUACCCAGAAGAUUGCCUCUUCGCAAAAAGAGUUGGAGCUGAAGGAGGAUGGUGAAACAGAGUUAAAGAAGCAGUUUGAAGCUAUUUCUGAAUUCAGCAGUAAUAGUUCUUCUCCAUUAAGCUGUAUAGUUGAUUAAAAGUAUUUAUAUUUGUUUCUCUCUCUUUUCUAAUUAUAUGAAUGCAUUUCUUCAUUCAAUAAGGAAUAAUCAUGUUUUCAUUAGUAAAAGAAAUUCUCAAGGACCUCCAACUGCAACAGAUAGACCUCUAUUUGUUUAAUUUUAAAGUUGUUCGUGUUUGGUCAUUAAAAUUUUUAAUUUAUCUUUAUUAGAUUUAAAUAA